rnacentral:lncRNA from 1 species
UUUAAAGGCUGCUCAUCCAUUUUUGGUGCCCUUCUUUCUCCCAAGUUUCACCUGUGGCUUCAAGAAACUGUAGCAUUUCUGGUAGUCACACCCUGGUAAACCAUUUUGGCAGAUGGAUAAAACCAGGUUGAGAGUAACUGAUGGGCCACAAACCUGUUAGUAAGUGACUGGAAAUCUUUUACCCCAACACUUCCCAAUUGAAGGAACUUCUGAAGGGAAACCUGAGCAGACUACCUCAGCUCCUGUUGCCCAGGGUUUGCAGCCCCUUUGCGCCUUAGCAGAUGAGUUGCUAUUGCUGAAAACUUCAUCAUGUUGUAACCCAAAUGGUAAAAACUUCUCAACAUUUAGCCAGGCAAGUAUUCAGAUGAUAUAUAAUAAACUGCUACAUUGAGCAGCUAGGUGGCAGAGUGGAUAGAGCACUGGGCCUGGCUUCAUCUUUGUGGAUCCAAAUCUGGCCUCAGACACUUAGCUGUAUGACUAUGGGCAAG